AUAUGUUUUUGUUCAGCUGGCAGACAAAGGCAGAUUAGACAAAAUUUCUUUUGCAACCCAGAACUCACUGUUGUAUGUGUUUUGAUACAUAUAAGAAGGAAUAUA
ensembl:snoRNA